CACGUAGUUAGCCGGGGCUUUCUGCUCAAGUACUGUCAACACAUGAAUCUAUUCGACUCAUGUGAGCUCAUUCUUGAGAACAGAGCUUUACAAUCCGAAGACCGUCAUCACUCACGCGGCGUUGCUCCGUCAGGCUUGCGCCCAUUGCGGAAAAUUCCCUACUGCUGCCUCCCGUAGGAGUCUGGGCCGUGUCUCAGUCCCAGUGUGGCCGAUCACCCCUCUCAGGUCGGCUACGCAUCGUCGCCUUGGUAGGCCGUUACCCCACCAACAAGCUAAUGCGACGCGGGCCCAUCUACUAGUGAUAGCCGAAGCCAUCCUUUCCCCUCUUCUCAUGCGAGAGAGAUACGUCCGUAUAGCUCCGGUUCCGAGUUCUCCAGGCUAAGUAGGUAGGUUCGCCCACGUGUUACUCCACCGUUCGCCGCUCGACUCCACCGACCCGGGAGGUCGCUUCGUCCGCGCUCGUACUUGAC
rnacentral:rRNA from 1 species